UACAGAGGUGGCAAGCGUUGUUCGGAAUUACUGGGCGUAAAGGGCGCGUAGGCGGCCUUCUAAGUCAGACGUGAAAUCCCCCGGCUUAACCUGGGAACUGCGUCUGAUACUGGGAGGCUCGAGUAUGGGAGAGGGAUGUAGAAUUCCAGGUGUAGCGGUGAAAUGCGUAGAUAUCUGGAGGAAUACCGGUGGCGAAGGCGGCAUCCUGGACCAUUACUGACGCUGAGGCGCGAAAGCGUGGGGAGCGAACAGG
rnacentral:rRNA from 1 species